GCCAGCAGCCAUAUCACCCUGCAACUCACAACUGGCACUGAAGCUCAGCAGGUGUGAGCCUGGUCAGUACCUGGAUGGGAAACCUCCUUGGAAAAACUAAGGUUGCUGCUGGAA
rnacentral:rRNA from 1 species